rnacentral:lncRNA from 1 species
GAGCUGUCACACAGACCUAGGUUUUCUGCCUCUGAUUUGUCAGAGGGGUGUGGAGACGUUUCUUCUUUCUUUUGGAGGAUUCUUCUGUGACCUUUUCCACCCCCGCCCAAUUCAUAGGCUGAACAUCUCACUGAAAGAAAGAAAAGCUUAGUUUUUAGGGAAACUGACAGAGAAGUUGGGAGAUCCAAACACUUGGCUUUCUCAAGGCAAGCACUGCAGAGGCUGUGCAGGUCGAGUCCAGAGAAGUUCCACAAAGAAUCUACACUACUCAACCAGGCACAUGCAGACAGCUCAUCGGUCCAAGGAUGGAAAAAUGAAGACGACAUGACUCUGGAAUUUGGAGAGGUGUCAGAGUAAAAAGCUGAGCAGAAGCUCACUAUGCAUGGACAGUGUCCAGAGGACCCCAUCAGAAGUUGAAGGCCUGGAGCUUACUGCAGAGUCUUCUGUGAGUCUGUCAGGAAACCAAGUGCCUGCACUGGGAGGCUGGAGACUCUGAGCUAGGAGCCUGGAGACAGACGUCCAGAGGCAUUGGUAAAGAUGGGAGCUCUUCCAAAGAAGCAAAAAGUCUCUGCUGGCCAUGUGAGAUGACUGACAACAGCCUUGAAGUCACAGCUCCCUAGGAAGUCCCCUCGGAGGUGCUAUGAGUGGAGCAGCGCUUCGCCACCAUGCUCUUCCAUUGUACUGUUUCUGCCUUGGAGCCAGCUGACCAUGGACUGAAACCUCUGAAACCAUGAGCCAAAACAAACCUCUCCUUUUUAAAGUUGCAGGUGUCAGGUAUUUUGUCCUGGAAACAGGAAAUAUGACUAAUACAACAUCCUCUAAAAGCAGAGUAAAAAUGAGUAAGAAUUUGGCAUUUAUCUAAAAUUUAUGAGAGGAUUUUCUAGAAGGAAAUAACAGUUGAUAAAGGACAGCUAGUUGGUGAAGAUCCUCAUUUGGUCAGGGUCAGGUUUAAAUCAUCUUGGCCACCUGUCCUCAGUACAGAAAGGCAGUCCUAAAGUGGGGGACUCAGGAAAGCAGAGCCAUGGGGACAGUAUGGACUCUCAAGCAGUCCUUUGUGAAUCGGUCAGCUUGGCAAUUUAGUGCAUGCCUUCCGGAUGGGCAUCAGGGACAGCCAGCUGACCAAGGCAGCCCUUCCUGCCUGAGAAGUCCCACUGGAGUGGGAAUGACUCUCGGCCAGGUUCUUGAUGCCACACUGGUCUAUCUGGUUGUAAGCUGACUCUGAGACUGUGACCAGGAGCUGGACCCCUGCCUCUGGGUGAGGAAACUGCAGAGUGAGGCUGAGGGUUAUCGCUCUCAUGAGCCUGUGAUUUAGGGUGCGUUCCAGCUCCAGUAUCCAACCAGAGUCUGAGUCAAGGGAACUAGUGCACAAUCUAGGCAUAUGAAACACCUGCUCACGGCCUGGAACUCUAGAUCUCCAGGGUGAGUUUGAGUCCAUGUCUGUGUUUGGAUGAGUGUGCGUCAGGGAAUUGGAGCGACAAAGCAGAACUUCACUGUGACGGGUUGGGUCCCUAGGAUUGGCUAUUCCUGAAUCAUGAGCCAGGCUAGGAAGAGAAGUGAUGGAUAGACUCACAAAAAUCUGAUUGGAGCAGAACAGGAGCAAUUCCCCUGAAGGAAAGGGUAAAGUUCUUUCAUAAAAAGCUGGAUGUGGUGGCACACCCCUGUAAUCUCAGCACUCAAGAGACUGAGGAAGGUGGAUCUCCAUGAGUUCAAGGCUAGCCUGGGCUACAUAGUGAGACCCUGGCUCAAAGACAAAAACAAUAGCAACAACAAAAACCAUAAAAACAGAAAAAUGUUGCCCGGCUUAAUGGCACAUGCCUGUAAUCCUAGCACUUAGGAGACUGAGACAGGAGGAUCUCUGCAAGUUUGAGGCCAGCUUGGGCUACAUAAUGAGUUCAAGACCAGCCUGAACUACUUAGUGAGACCCUGACUCAAAAAACAAAAACAAACAAACAAAAUCUAAGAGGGGGGGUAGGUGCUGGGCAGAGGCAAGACAGCAGACGUCUUUUACAAUUCCUAAUCUCUUCAGGCUCAGCUCAGUUGUCCGUUCCUGAUGCCCCCGUCCCUCUGGUGGGUUAGGUGUCCCUCUCCUGGCUCACAUUACCUCCCAGUUGCACUGCUGUGCCUGGGCUCAUUUCCAAUUGUUUCUUUAUGCACGAGCUCUUCCAAGACAGGUGCCAUGGCUUAUUCCAAUUUGCACAACCAGGCUCUCAGGUUCCAUGAAUGUUCAUAAAGCAGGACCGAAAGGGAUUCCCAAGUGACUGAAAAUCCUCUUCAGAGAAAGACGAAAGAGCGUCCUAAACGUACAAGGACCAGGUAUGGAUAAAUACUUUGAUUAGGCAACUUCUUUGAUUCUCACAAUCACGACACUCAAGGGAACAUUGUUCUUGUAUUUUGUGGACUGGAAGCGAAAGG